rnacentral:rRNA from 1 species
UACAGAGGUCCCGAGCGUUGUUCGGAUUCAUUGGGCGUAAAGGGUGCGUAGGCGGCGGGGCAAGUCUGAUGUGAAAUCCCGGGGCUCAACCCCGGAACUGCAUUGGAUACUGCCUUGCUAGAGUACUGGAGAGGGAACUGGAAUUUACGGUGUAGCAGUGGAAUGCGCAGAUAUCAGGAGGAACACCGGUGGCGAAGGCGGGUCUCUGGGCCAUUACUGACGCUGAGGAGCGAAAGCGUGGGGGAGCGAACAGG